CAUGGCCAGAGUCACUUUCGCAGUAAUGUACCGGAGUGCUUCUUCGAAAUCUCUUGGCUGUGAGGAUUUAAAUAAGUUCUGGAAAUAUUCCGAUGCUACUUUUUCAAUCCCAUCUUUGCUUUCAGCCCAACCCCCAUUCAAAGAUUUUAGCUUAGUAAUAUGGUUCCGAGCUCGUCUCUGCUUUGUUAUGGCAUGGAAAAACUUGGUAUUUUUUUAUCUCCAUUCUUUAGCCACAGAGCCCUACUUUUCUGUCUCCAAUAUAAUUCUUCCUCUCGGAAUGCCGUACAUAGUUUCCAUUUCAGAUUCAUGAUCUCUUCACUUGGCACGUCCGCAUCAGAUUGUGCUUUCUCAAGUUGCUCUUUUAUUGCUGCAAUCUUUUUUUUAUGUGUUCGACGGGUUAGCUCGCUUCCAUCGUGAAAUUGCACGUCUUACUUCGCUCAUCUUGGCAUGGAGAGACCAGUUCCCUUCUGACUCUACAGGUCCUCAUCCCUCCUCAAUAUCUUCUCGUAGACCGUACUUGAGAAGCCAUCAACGAUCAAAUUUAAAGCCCCGCCGAUGUCUUAUCUCACGAGUUUGAAUGCAUGUCAGCACCGGACGGUGAUCGGAACCCCAAAGCUUAAGAUACUCCACAUUCGUGUGGGAGAAGUAUUGGUGCCAAUCUUCAUUGCCUACCGCUCUAUCCAAACUACAUUGGACCUUUCUAGACCUGCGAUAACCCACCCAGGACAUUGGGUUACCCUUAUACGGAAAGUCCACCAUUCCGCAAUCCGCUAGCAUUGCUUUGAAGGCGAUGAAGGAUGUCUCGGGUCUCUUCCUUCCCCCUAUAUUCUCAUGGUUCCUUGUUAUCUCAUUAAAAUUACCACACAUAAACCACACUCCCGUUCUGGUAGUACUCAUACGGGUUAAAUGUUCCCAAACAUAGUCUCAGCACUCAACGACCGGAUCACCAUAGACAAAGGUCAGAUAGACUUUAUGUCCCUCUAUGGUAGCAGAUAUAUCAAUCAUACGCUUAUCAAAAUAGAGAACAGAAACAUCAUACGAAUCCAUAUAAAAAAGUGCUAGUCGACCGCUUCUACCUUCCGGUUAUACGGUGAAUAAUUUAUUAUAACCAAAAGAAACUUGAAAGUCUUGCAAAAAAGAACGAGAGUUUUUUGUUUCAGAAAGAAAAAGAAAAGAAGGUGUGAAAUAGCGAUGCAACUCCCGAAGAUGUCGCUUGGUCAAGUAGGCUCCCGCCCCUUGACAGUUCCAAGAGAUGGUGUUCAUAUCUUCUUACUGGAUGGUUUCUGGGACCUCACCGAACCUGAAACAGCAAGUGAAUAUCUACUUUUAGCAGAAGGAUACACCUCAAAGCGAGGGACAUACUGAGAAAUGGUUUUUGAAGAGGUACCGGAUCCUCUUUGAUUCUUUUAGGGAGAAGGUUUUUCCCUCAUAGCAUUCAGUUUCUUUGAGGCACGAGCACCCUUUACGUCCGGGCUGCGAGGUACUUUCUUUUUCAAGUCAGCUCCACUCGGCAAGCCACUAUGUCUUCCUUCUCCAGCGCGUUUGUCCCUCCCCGAAAUCUUCUUCUUCAUCUGAUCCUAAAGAGGAUGAAAUUAUGUCUUAGAUGCCGAAUCCUUAUUAAUUGUUUCCUCCAUAGUAGUUUGUCGGGCUGGUUCUUGCGUACUGUAAACCUCAGAAUUUUCUGGAGGCAGUUGUGAUAUCGCAUCAAUGAUUUCUGCAUCAUAACCAGGCUCAUCCACAAGAAGAUCAUCAUUUUGUGACAUAUUAUCAUCUGUAACCACAUCACCAAACUCAUCAACCAGUUUAUCUACUUCAUUUUCAUCCUCCCUAGUCAUCACCAUGUUCUCUACAUUUUCUGACGCCAUCAGGGUGUCUAAAUCUAGGCUUGGGUUUUCCUUCCUAGUGUCAGAUCUACGCUGAGAGGAUUCAUACCUGGGCAAUGUAGCUGGUGAACGUGUUCCGUCCUCUCGGAUCAUAACAGUGCCUCUGUCUCUGAGCAAGAUCGCAGAUGGAAUAAACUUCUCAUGAGACUUCGCUGACAUAUGUUCUUUACGUUUGAGACGUCUCAUCCGUUAGUCCACAGUUUUGUUUUGAUGGACCACAAGAGCUCCAUUGCCUUGACCAUUGUGGCCAGUACGAUCUGGGAUUACACCCGAGAUUGUUUUUUGGAAAUCAGCUUUCUCCGAAGGGGAGUCCCCCAUAUGUUUUGAGUGAGUAACUGCUCUGGAUUGGUCGUUACUCUUCUCACCGUUCACUUGCAUUCUUGGACGUUAAACCUGUUGGGAGUGUUUGGGAAACUUGGUUAGACUUGCGGUGCCUUGCCUCAUACGACUCAUGUCUUUGGAGUCUCCCUUGAGUUCCAUGUACUUGAUUCCUCGAAUCAUGAUGGGGUUUGUAAUCCCAUGUCUUGCUUCUUAACGUAUGGUUUCCGAGACGACUCCUUACGUUUUCUUUUUGCUUAAGCUGCUGGUGUUGAUCAUAUUUUUCAUCCCUCCUCCAGUCUGAAUCCUUUGCUAAUUUUCCGUCCUCUCUAUGAGUCCAGAAGGUCCAGUAAUUUUCAGAGGCUUUAUUACGUUUUUCUCCUCUGGAGUUCCCCGGAAAAUGGCUUCGGUUUGGAGAUCCUCUGUACAUGUCUGAUGACGGGGAGCGAGAUCUCUUGUUAUUCUCAUUUUUACUCCUGCUGUUUCCGAAAGAUCCAAGGAGUCUUUGUUGUGUUGAUUGUGCUGCUGAGUCGAGUUCACGAUACUCCUAAAGCAAACGCUCUUUCUCCUCUUGGUCGAUCUCCGUAUAAGCAUAGAUAUCAUGUGAGAUCCUUUUGCAUCCGUAUCAGAAGCGAUCCAGUCCUUCAUAAGAGAGACUUACUCUACCAACAUCUCCGUUUGGAAAGCCCAUUCUACGCUCAAAUUGAAGUGGUUGGUCUGCAUCUAUUGACACUUGGAGGCUAGCAUUAUUUGCAUCUAUGGCCAUCUUCUUCCCCAACGCUUUUGCGAUUUCUUCAAAGGUCUUAUCAUUCCAAUAGUGCAUCGGAACCCCGGUAACCUUAAUCCAUAAGGUAACCGUGUGUGGAAAGUUUUCACUUGUGAAUGGUUUCCACUGUUCCAACGCAAAGAUCCAAUGGUUAAAGUGGCAUGUGCGCUUGUUCAAGACCAUCACAAGAUCUUCUUCCUUGUCGAAAUCGAACUGGAAGCGCCCGUUGCCAAGGUUCACUCCCCGUACUAUGUCUUCAACGUUCCAGAUCCGAGCACGGGGAAGGACGCCAAUCAUUGCUUCCACACUUCUUCCACAGAGAUGGAGAACUCUUCCAAUCAGCGUCUUCUUAAAACGUUUUGUCGCCACAUCCAAAUCGCAGUCUGGUAUCUUGAUGAUUUCUUCUUCCUUCUCCAGAUCCAAGUGUCGACUUGCGGGUGAGGCGGUUGCUCGGUGGAUCAGGCUUGAUUGUAGACUCAUUUUUCCGAAGUAGGAAUCACAUAAUACGUAGCACAAGGCUAUAGUAGAUCACAGAGAGCGCUCAAAACCUUGAAAGUUCGAGCGUGGAGCAAAUAGAAAUAGCUUGCUUGAUAAAAACGUAGCAGUAAAGCUAGAAGGCAGAAAGGUAUAUAUGGUCUCUUCCAAAACUCUACACCGCCGUCAAGAAGUGUACAUAGUCUUCCUUCCACGGUAGGUAAACAUUAGGAGAGAUACGCCACCGUCGGAUCAAGAUCUGACAAUCACCGUUUUUUCGCCUAAAACCCUUGGAGCCACGUUUUUUAUACUCUCUACAACUCUUUCUAGAUUUAACAAAUAUCUCAAUUUUUAAAAUCGACAAACUCUGUAGAAAUCUAAGUCCCACUAACACUCUUUUAUUGUAUUCAUCAAAUAUUCGAUUUUGGUAUUUUAGCCAUGUAUAAAAAAAAUAUAUAUUCAUAAAUAGGAAACCGUAAAUAACGUCAAAGGAGUUGUAAAAAGUAGACAAUAAUCAAAAGAUGUUUUGAAAGAGCUGUGACUGAUUUGAUGGAUUAGUUGGCUUGGUGGUGGACUGUACAAAAGACAUUACAAAUAAUUCUACUUUAUAUGUAAAAUUAUUUUUACUCGCUUUUUUUUGGGGAAUAACUUUGUUUGUCCGCUCACCGAGGAAAGGUCAGGAUGUUGUUUGUACCAAAUAUGCUUUGGCUAAGGCAUACCAAAAUCUUUUUUGGUUCCAUUAAAAUCCAUCUUAGUAUUAGCAGUGAUUAUUGAUUAAUGAAACCAACUUUCUUUGUAUUUUUCUAGAAUAAUAUUGUUCAUAAACUAUACAUUUAUUAUUUUCGAUGGAUUGAGUAAGGUGGCCGGAAACUUUCCGGAAAAGCGUGAGGCGACGGCAAACCGUGGCGAUUUGCACUGAUUCGGCCAGUUCCUCGGAAUUUUUUUAAAAAACAAUUGUUUUGUAGGUUGUAAGCCCAGAAUCACCUAUUAUAUCAUAGAUCUGUGCAAUAUAUAUUCAUAUCAACAAUUUAUCAACCAAAAGCAUCAUGAAAUCGUAAAAAAAAAAAGGUGAAAAAGCGGCUCUAAAAUUGCAGGUACAAAGGUUGAAGAUGAGGGUAUUUUUGUCAUUUCAACUUUAAUUAAACCUAGUUUGAAAAAAAAUCGAAAAAGCUCUACUUACCCUCGAACCUGCGUCCUGUGCCACUUUUGAAGGUGGGCAAACCACUAGGCCACAAAUAAACAUUAGUAUUGUUUCACAUAUUUAAUAUAUAACCUUAAAUGUAUAUAAAUGCCCUAAAAUAAUUCUUGAUUAAUUUCCGGAUAAUCUCCAAUUUUCUCAUUAUACGCUAGGCCCAACCCAAGAGUACGAGAAACGCCUAGCGAGUUCUUGAACAUUGGUUACUCCAUGCGUUUCGCAAAUAGUGUUGUUGUAAGAUUUUAAUUUUGUUUCAUAAAGAAUGUCAUUUUGUAAUUUCAAUGGAAGUUUUUAAAUAAAAGUUUAGUUUUAUCCUUCUUAUUUUAAUGUAUUAAUUAGAAAGAUAAAUUUAUUUAGUGUGUGAAUAAAUGGUAAAAUAGAGUUUUAGAUGAUUUUUUAAUAUGUGUGCAAAGUUUACAAGUGACGCUUAUUAUGAAAUAGAAAGAAUAUAUUUCAAGUCAAAUACAUUUCUCUAUAUACAUAAAAAGAAUAACUACCAUUUAAAGAAAUUUGUUAACAAUAUUUUCUUGGGCUUAAUAAUUUAUAGAUAUUAUCAAAGAAUUUAAAUAGUUUAUGUAGUUGAAUACGUUACUUUUAUUUAUAUGUGUGACAUGUGAUAGCUGAUAAUCAUGUUAAACAACCAUGAAAAAUAACUACCAUUUAAAGAAAUUUGUUAACAAUAUUUUCUUGGGCUCAAACUUAAGUUUUAUCAAGCAGCAAGUGAAUAAUUUGUUGCCACACCUUUCUAAUAGACGGUGCACGAUUAGAAGCAAACACUAAUAAAUCCUUCUCAUCAGAAAUAAUGGUUGUAUAAAAGACCAGUUCCAUGAAAUAUUUCAGAAUUUAUAGAAGGAAAUACAACUGAAAAUUUAAAACCUUGCACUGCAGCACUGACAAAAUUUUGAAAACUUUGAUUUAAUUUUAUAUAGCACCAUCGAUAGAAACGAUCUUCCUUAUCAAUUUACCUUUAAUUGAUUUAACAAAAACCAAAAAUGCAUGUUUUCUAACUUCAUCCACCUCAACAAAAGUAGAUAACCCAAAAAAAAUACUUUUCCUAAGUGAAACCACGUUAGCAAAACUUCAUAACUAUCGUAUCAUAAGUAAUCCUCAAAAUCUCUUGCUCACCCUUUAAGUUUCCAUGCUUUUGGGUAUGUGAUCACAGCAUUUCAUAUGUGUGACAUGUGAUAGCUGAUAAUCAUGUUAAACAACGAUGAAAAAUAACUACCAUUUAAAGAAAUUUGUUAACAAAAUUUUCUUGGGCUUAAUAAUUUAUAGAUAUUAUCAAAGAAUUUAAAUAGUUUAUGUAGUUGAAUACGUUACUUUUAUAUAUAUAUGUGUGACAUGUGAUAGCUGAUAAUCAUGUUAAACAACCAUGAAAAAUAACUACCAUUUAAAGAAAUUUGUUAACAAUAUUUUCUUGGGCUCAAACUAAAGUUUUAUCAAGCAGCAAGUGAAUAAUUUGUGGCCACACCUUUCUAAUAGACGGUGCACGAUUAGAAGGAAACACUAAUAAAUCCUUCUCAUCAGAAAUAAUGGUUGUAUAAAAGACCAGUUCCAUGAUAUAUUUCAGAAUUUAUAGAAGGAAAUACAACUGAAAAUUUAAAACCUUGCACUGCAGCACUGACAAAAUUUUGAAAACUUUGAUUUAAUUUUAUAUAGCACCAUCGAUAGAAACAAUCUUCCUUAUCAAUUUACCUUUAAAUCUUUAAUUGAUUUAACAAAAACCAAAAAUGCAUGUUUUCUAACUUCAUCCACCUCAACAAAAGUAGAUAACCCAAAAAAAAUACUUUUCCUAAGUGAAAGCACGUUAGCAAAACUUCAUAACUAUCGUAUCAUAAGUAAUCCUCAAAAUCUCUUGCUCACCCUUUAUGUUUCCAUGCUUUUGGAUAUGUGAUCACAGCAUUUCAUAUGUGUGACAUGUGAUAGCUGAUAAUCAUGUUAAACAACCAUGAAAAAUAACUACCAUUUAAAGAAAUUUGUUAACAAUAUUUUCUUGGGCUUAAUAAUUUAUAGAUAUUAUCAAAGAAUUUAAAUAGUUUAUGUAGCUGAAUACGUUACUUUUAUUUAUAUGUGUGACAUGUGAUAGCUGAUAAUCAUGUUAAACAACCAUGAAAAAUAACUACCAUUUAAAGAAAUUUGUUAACAAUAUUUUCUUGGGCUCAAACUUAGGUUUUAUCAAGCAGCAAGUGAAUAAUUUGUUGCCACACCUUUCUAAUAGACGAUUAGAAGCAAACACUAUUAAAUCUUUCUCACCAGAAAUAAUGGUUGUAUAAAAGACCAGUUCCAUGAAAUAUUUCAGAAUUUAUGGAAGGAAUUAAAACUGAAAAUUUAAAACCUUGCACUGCAGCACUGACAAAAUUUUGAAAACUUUGAUUUAAUUUUAUAUAGCACCAUCGAUAGAAACAAUCUUCCUUAUCAAUUUACCUUUAAUUGAUUUAACAAAAACCAAAAAUGCAUGUUUUCUAACUUCAUCCACCUCAACAAAAGUAGAUAACCCAAAAAAAUAUUUUUCCUAAGUGAAACCACAUUAGCAAAACUUCAUAACUAUCGUAUCAUAAGUAAUCCUCAAAAUCUCUUGCUCACCCUUUAAGUUUCCAUGCUUUUGGAUAUGUGAUCACAGCAUUUCAUAUCUACCUUCUAUAUGAUAUGUUACGGGUUUCAGUCCAUUUUUCUCACAUCCUAAUAAUUGCUUUAAUUACGUGUCAUAACUACGUUCAGGGACAUACAAAAAAUUUGAGAUACAUCUCUCGUUGACACAACAAAGUAACCAAAAGUUAACAUGAAACAUGAAAGCUAUAGAAACGAAUAAAAUUUAAAAUGCAUAUACAAAAUAAUGUCGUUGGAACUAGGACAUGGGCCAAGAAUUUAAUUUUAAGUGCUUGAAUUAGUAUUUAUUUUUAGUUUCAAAGAGUUAAUUCUAUAUUUUGUGAAUCAUUAUUUGGUUUGCAUAGUCUUAAAUUAGUGAGUCUGUUUAGUUAAUGACAUAAAGAUGUAAAAAUAUUGAGAGCCCAAGUGAUACAGUUGACUAAAUUGCAUAUUGUUGUAGUUGUAAUUUUUAAUGAGAUAUUAAUGUUUUAUUUUUA